GACCGACGCCUGGUGGCGAUUCCUCCCUAAACUUGGGCCGUGCCGCUUCACAGCGGCGCGGUCUUUUUUUGUGCCGC
rnacentral:sRNA from 1 species